UACGAGGGGGCAAAUGUUGUUCGGAAUCACUGGGCGUAAAGGGAGCGUAGGCGGGUUUCUAAGUCAGGUGUUUAAUCCCGGGGCCCAACCCCGGACAGGCACUUGAAACUGGGAAUCUUGAAUAGUGGAGAGGUCAGUGGAAUUGGGGGUGUAGCGGUGGAAUGCGUAGAGAUCCCCAAGAACACCAGUUGCGAAGGCGGCUGACUGGACACAUAUUGACGCUGAGGCUCGAAAGCUAGGGGAGCAAACAGG
rnacentral:rRNA from 1 species